GAUGAACGCUGGCGGCGUGCCUAAUACAUGCAAGUCGAGCGAACGGACGAGAAGCUUGCUUCUCUGAUGUUAGCGGCGGACGGGUGAGUAACACGUGGAUAACCUACCUAUAAGACUGGGAUAACUUCGGGAAACCGGAGCUAAUACCGGAUAAUAUUUUGAACCGCAUGGUUCAAAAGUGAAAGACGGUCUUGCUGUCACUUAUAGAUGGAUCCGCGCUGCAUUAGCUAGUUGGUAAGGUAACGGCUUACCAAGGCAACGAUGCAUAGCCGACCUGAGAGGGUGAUCGGCCACACUGGAACUGAGACACGGUCCAGACUCCUACGGGAGGCAGCAGUAGGGAAUCUUCCGCAAUGGGCGAAAGCCUGACGGAGCAACGCCGCGUGAGUGAUGAAGGUCUUCGGAUCGUAAAACUCUGUUAUUAGGGAAGAACAUAUGUGUAAGUAACUGUGCACAUCUUGACGGUACCUAAUCAGAAAGCCACGGCUAACUACGUGCCAGCAGCCGCGGUAAUACGUAGGUGGCAAGCGUUAUCCGGAAUUAUUGGGCGUAAAGAGCUCGUAGGUGGUUUGUCGCGUCGUCUGUGAAAUUCCGGGGCUUAACUCCGGGCGUGCAGGCGAUACGGGCAUAACUUGAGUACUGUAGGGGAGACUGGAAUUCCUGGUGUAGCGGUGAAAUGCGCAGAUAUCAGGAGGAACACCGGUGGCGAAGGCGGGUCUCUGGGCAGUAACUGACGCUGAGGAGCGAAAGCAUGGGGAGCGAACAGGAUUAGAUACCCUGGUAGUCCAUGCCGUAAACGGUGGGCGCUAGGUGUGGGUUUCCUUCCACGGGAUCCGUGCCGUAGCUAACGCAUUAAGCGCCCCGCCUGGGGAGUACGGCCGCAAGGCUAAAACUCAAAGGAAUUGACGGGGGCCCGCACAAGCGGCGGAGCAUGUGGAUUAAUUCGAUGCAACGCGAAGAACCUUACCUGGGCUUGACAUAUACAGGAUCGCGCCAGAGAUGGUGUUUCCCUUGUGGCUUGUAUACAGGUGGUGCAUGGUUGUCGUCAGCUCGUGUCGUGAGAUGUUGGGUUAAGUCCCGCAACGAGCGCAACCCUUGUCUUAUGUUGCCAGCACGUUGUGGUGGGGACUCGUAAGGAACUGCCGGGGUUAACUCGGAGGAAGGUGGGGAUGACGUCAAAUCAUCAUGCCCCUUAUGCCCAGGGCUUCACACAUGCUACAAUGGUCGGUACAGUGGGUUGCCAGUCCGUGAGGGCGAGCUAAUCCCGCAAAGCCGGUCUCAGUUCGGAUCGGGGUCUGCAACUCGACCCCGUGAAGUCGGAGUCGCUAGUAAUCGCAGAUCAGCAACGCUGCGGUGAAUACGUUCCCGGGUCU
rnacentral:rRNA from 1 species